rnacentral:rRNA from 1 species
UGGUGGAGUGAUUUGUCUGGUUAAUUCCGUUAACGAACGAGACCUCAGCCUGCUAAAUAGCUCGGCGGAGCCAUCCGGCUCCGGCUACCGAGUCUUCUUAGAGGGACUUUUGGUGCGUAGCCAAAGGAAGUUUGAGGCAAUAACA